UAAUUCCAGGUUCCGUGCGAUCACUGAAGUUAAACAACGUUGAGCCGGGUUAAUAUCUAGAUGGGUAACCACUUGGGAAUGCCAGCUACUGCGG